CAGUCGCCGCGGGAAUACGUAGGUCCCGAGCGUUGUCCGGAUUUAUUGGGCGUAAAGGGAGCGCAGGCGGUUUAGUAAGUCUGAAGUUAAAGGCAUUGGCUCAACCAAUGUAUGCUUUGGAAACUGUUAGACUUGAGUGCAGAAGGGGAGAGUGGAAUUCCAUGUGUAGCGGUGAAAUGCGUAGAUAUAUGGAGGAACACCGGUGGCGAAAGCGGCUCUCUGGUCUGUCACUGACGCUGAGGCUCGAAAGCGUGGGUAGCGAACAGGAUUAGAUACCCCCGUAGUCCCUGUCUCUUAUACA
rnacentral:rRNA from 1 species